rnacentral:rRNA from 1 species
AGAGUUUGAUCCUGGCUCAGGACGAACGCUGGCGGCGUGCCUAACACAUGCAAGUCGAACGGAACUUACCGAAUGAAGCUUUCGGGUGGAUUUUGAUAAGUUAGUGGCGGACGGGUGAGUAACGCGUGAGUAACCUGCCCUUGAGAGGGGGAUAACGUCUGGAAACGGACGCUAAUACCGCAUAAAAUUAUCCAGUCGCAUGGCAGGAUAAUCAAAGGAGCAAUCCGCUGAAGGAUGGACUCGCGUCCGAUUAGAUAGUUGGCGGGGUAACGGCCCACCAAGUCGACGAUCGGUAGCCGGACUGAGAGGUUGAACGGCCACAUUGGGACUGAGACACGGCCCAGACUCCUACGGGAGGCAGCAGUGGGGGAUAUUGCACAAUGGGCGAAAGCCUGAUGCAGCAACGCCGCGUGAGGGAAGACGGUUUUCGGAUUGUAAACCUCUGUUCUAAGUGACGAAGAAUGACGGUAGCUUAGGAGGAAGCCCCGGCUAACUACGUGCCAGCAGCCGCGGUAAUACGUAGGGGGCAAGCGUUGUCCGGAAUUACUGGGUGUAAAGGGAGCGCAGGCGGAGAAGCAAGUCAGUGGUGAAAGGUAUGGGCUUAACCCAUAGACUGCCAUUGAAACUGUUUUCCUUGAGUGAAGUAGAGGCAGGCGGAAUUCCGAGUGUAGCGGUGAAAUGCGUAGAUAUUCGGAGGAACACCAGUGGCGAAGGCGGCCUGCUGGGCUUUAACUGACGCUGAGGCUCGAAAGUGUGGGGGAGCAAACAGGAUUAGAUACCCUGGUAGUCC